AAUGAGUCGUCACCUUGAGCCAAGAAAACAAUGGUCCUACAACCGUGAAUGUUCGUAUUACUGGACUUACCCCCGGGCCUCAUGGGUUUCACUUACAUGAGUAUGGUGAUACGACAAAAUGGAUGCAUAUCCACAGGACCACAUUUCAAUCCUAAACAGUUGACACAUGGUGCUCCUGAGGAUGAAGUCUGUCAUGCGGGUGACCUGGGAAACAUAGUUGCUAAUGC